rfam:Pestalotiopsis fici W106-1 unplaced genomic scaffold PFICI_Scf_29, whole genome shotgun sequence.
AACAUAAAGAGUUUGAUGAUGGCUCUAACUGAACACUGUCCAAGUACUUGACACAUGCUAAUCGAACGACUAAUUAGAUUUUAAAUAAUUUAUUAUUUAAAAAUAAAUAGUAGUGGUGUACAGGUGAGUAUAUGAUAAAUUGGCUACCUUAAAGUUAGGGGAGAAAUUCCCCAAUAAAUAAACAAUUAGUACACAUUUCUGUUUAUUAAUUGUUUUAGUAAAGAACAAUGACAAAAACUAGUUAUAACUAUUCUUAACUAGUUAGUUACAGCUAACUAAUUUAUAUACCCUAUAUAAAAAUAUAAAUUAUAAUAGCGUGUUUGCUUUAGGAUGUAAAUUUUUAUCUCGGUGAGUAGUAGGAAAGGUAAUGACUUUUCUAGCAGUAACCGUAGUCGUAACUGGAAAGUUGAUCGACCACAUUGGGUCUGAGAAAAACCCAAUGCUUUUUUGUACAGCAGUGAGGAAUAUUGGUCAAUGGCCGAAAGGCUGAACCAGUAACUUGGAAGAAUGAAAUUGUAUUUGUAUAAAUACAAUAGUGGUUAAACCACAUAAAAUUCUAAAUAGAUUAUAUAUAAUGACAAAAUCUAUUUAUAAGUCUUGACCAAACUACGUGCCAGCAGUCGCGGUAAUACGUAGAAGGCUAGUGUUAGUUAUCUUUAUUGGGUUUAAAGGGUAAGUAGACGGUAAAUUAAACUCUAAAAGAGUACUUAUUUACUAGAGUUAUAUGAGAGAAGGAAGAAUUCCUGGAGUAGAGAUAAAAUUUUUUGAUACCAGGAGGACUGUCAACGGCGAAGGCGUCCUUCUAUGUAAUAACUGACGUUGAGAGACGAAGGCUUGGGUAGCAAACAGGAUUAGAUACCCUAAUAGUCCAAGCAGACAAUGAUGAAUGUCAUACAUUAGAUAGAUUUUAAUGUAUAAACGAAAGUGUAAGCAUUCCACCUCAAGAGUACUAUGGCAACAUAUAAACUGAAAUCAUUAGACCGUUUCUGAAACCAGUAGUGAAGUAUGUUAUUUAAUUCGAUGAUCCGCGAAAAACCUUACCACAGCUUGUAUAGCAGUUAUGAAAAAUUGUUACAAGCGCUGCAUGGCUGUCUUUAGUUAAUGUCGUGAGAUUUGGUUAACUCCUCUAAUUAACGAAAACCCUCACUUUAUUUAUAUAUAUAAAGUGGUUCGCUAUUACAUUGGUUGAUAAUAGGGAUUAAGACAAGUCAUUAUGGCCUAAAUGCUGUGGGCUAUAGACGUGCCACAUACGCCUUUACAAAGGGAUGCGAUAUUGUGAAAUGGAGCUAACCCCCAAAAAAGGAAAUACUAUGGAUAGUAGUCUGUAACUCGACUGCUUGAAUAAGGAAUUACUAGUAAUCGUGAAUCACCAUCGUCACGGUGAAUUAUUUCUCAGUUAGGUACUAACCACUCGUCAGGCGCUGAAAGAAGAAGAUGCAGUAAGUUUGAUGUUUUCUGUGUAUGAUUAUACAUAAAGUUGUUGUAUAACUACGCAGAAAAGUUUUCGUAUGCAAAACUUUGAUUGGUGUUAAGUCGAAAUAAGGUUCGUGUAAUGGAAAUUGCACGGGGAGUAUAAAAUUU